AUACGGAGGACGCGAGCGUUAUCCGGAUUCAUUGGGUUUAAAGGGUGCGCAGGCGGCCGUGCAAGUCAGCGGUGAAAGCCCGGGGCUCAACCCCGGAAGUGCCGUUGAUACUGCAUGGCUGGAAUGCGGUCGAGGCGGGCGGGACGUGGCGGGGAGCGGGGGAAUGGGAAGAUAUGCCACAGAACGCCGAUAGCGGAGGCAGCUCGCCAGGCCUGCAUUGACGCUCGGGCACGAAAGCGUGGGGAUCGAACAGGAUUAGAUACCCUGGUAGUCCACGCCGUAAACGAUGGGCGCUCGUCGUCGGCGGCAGACAGUCGGCGGCCAAGCGAAAGCGAUAAGCGCCCCACCUGGGGAGUACGGUCGCAAGGCUGAAACUCAAAUGAAUUGACGGGG
rnacentral:rRNA from 1 species